UACAGGGGGGGCAAGCGUUGUUCGGAAUUACUGGGCGUAAAGGGUCUGUAGGUGGCCAACUAAGUCAGACGUGAAAUCCCUCAGCUUAACUGGGGAACUGCGUCUGAUACUGGAUGGCUUGAGUGUGGGAGAGGAAUGCGGAAUUCCAGGUGUAGCGGUGAAAUGCGUAGAUAUCUGGAGGAACACCGGUGGCGAAGGCGGCAUCCUGGACCGGCAUUGACGCUGAGGCGCGAAAGCUAGGGGAGCAAACGGG
rnacentral:rRNA from 1 species